AUACAUGCCAGUCGAACGAGGUAGCAAUACCUAGUGGCGCACCGGGUGAGUAACGCGUGGGUAAUCUGCCUUGGAGUGGGGGAUAACCAGUCGAAAGACUGGCUAAUACCGCAUAAGACCACAGGAGCUGCGGCUCUAGGGGUCAAAGGUUUUUCGUUCCAAGAUGAGUCCGCGUAAGAUUAGCUAGUUGGUGAGGUAAUGGCUCACCAAGGCGACGAUCUUUAACUGGUCUGAGAGGAUGAUCAGUCACACUGGAACUGAGACACGGUCCAGGCUCCUACGGGAGGCAGCAGUAGGGAAUAUUGCACAAUGGAGGAAACUCUGAUGCAGCGACGCCGCGUGAGUGAUGAAGGCCUUCGGGUCGUAAAGCUCUGUCGCAGGGGAAUAACACAAUGAAUGUACCCUGCAAGAAAGGAUCGGCUAACUUCGUGCCAGCAGCCGCGGUAAGACGAGGGAUCCUAGCGUUGUUCGGAAUUAUUGGGCGUAAAGCGGGUGUAGGUGGCUAUGUAAGUCAAGUGUGAAAGCCUGGGGCUCAACCCCAGAAGUGCAUUUGAUACUGCGUAGCUUGAGUGCUGGAGAGGAUAGUAGAAUUGUUGGUGUAGUGGUGAAAUACGUAGAUAUCAACAGGAAUACCGGUGGCGAAGGCGGCUAUCUGGCCAAGCACUGACACUCAGACCCGAAAGCGUGGGGAUCAAACAGGAUUAGAUACCCUGGUAGUCCACGCCGUAAACGAUGGAUACUUGUUGUUGGAGGUAUUGACCCCUUCAGUGACGAAGCUAACGCGUUAAGUAUCCCGCCUGGGGAGUACGGUCGCAAGAUUAAAACUCAAAUGAAUUGACGG
rnacentral:rRNA from 1 species